rnacentral:tRNA from 1 species
UGUUGCGUAGCUUAGUUGGUUAAAGCGCCGGUCUAGCGUACACGGAGUCGUGAGUUCGAGUCUCACUAGAACGC